rnacentral:rRNA from 1 species
AUACGGAGGGUGCGAGCGUUGUUCGGAAUUAUUGGGCGUAAAGAGCAUGUAGGCGGUCUGUUAAGUCUGGUGUGAAAGCCCGGGGCUCAACCCCGGGAGUGCAUUGGAUACUGGCAGACUUGAGUAUGGGAGAGGAAAGCGGAAUUCCGAGUGUAGGAGUGAAAUCCGUAGAUCUUCGGAGGAACACCAGUGGCGAAGGCGGCUUUCUGGACCAAUACUGACGCUGAGAUGCGAAAGCGUGGGGAGCGAACAGGAGUAGAUACCCCAGUAGUCC